CCUACGGGUGGCUGCAGUGGGGAAUAUUGGACAAUGGGCGAAAGCCUGAUCCAGCCAUGUCGCGUGUGUGAAGAAGGCCUUCGGGUUGUAAAGCACUUUCAGUGGGGAAGAAAGCCUUGGGGCUAAUACCCUCGAGGAAGGACAUCACCCACAGAAGAAGCACCGGCUAACUCCGUGCCAGCAGCCGCGGUAAUACGGAGGGUGCGAGCGUUAAUCGGAAUUACUGGGCGUAAAGCGCGCGUAGGCGGUCUGAUAAGCCGGUUGUGAAAGCCCCGGGCUCAACCUGGGAACGGCAUCCGGAACUGUCAGGCUAGAGUGCAGGAGAGGAAGGUAGAAUUCCCGGUGUAGCGGUGAAAUGCGUAGAGAUCGGGAGGAAUACCAGUGGCGAAGGCGGCCUUCUGGACUGACACUGACGCUGAGGUGCGAAAGCGUGGGUAGCAAACAGGAUUAGAUACCCUGGUAGUC
rnacentral:rRNA from 1 species